UUUUGUUUUAAGAAACUAAGGAAACCGUUAUGGACACCAGUUUGUUGCUUGGAAACCCUUUACCCUUCCCACCUCAAUCUAAUUAUCGAGGAUUCCAAUCAUUGGUUAAUCUCA